UCUACCUGCCUUUCAGGCAUCCUCUCCCAAGACUUUUCCAGCCCGGUUGGUUCGCCAGCCGGGCUUUUUUUCUUGCGCC
rnacentral:sRNA from 1 species